rnacentral:rRNA from 1 species
UACGGGGGGGGGCAAGCGUUGUUCGGAAUUAUUGGGCGUAAAGGGCGCGUAGGCGGUGCGGUAAGUCACCUGUGAAACCUCUGGGCUUAACUCAGAGCCUGCAGGCGAAACUACCGUGCUGGAGUGUGGGAGAGGUGCGUGGAAUUCCCGGUGUAGCGGUGAAAUGCGUAGAUAUCUGGAGGAAUACCGGUGGCGAAGGCGGCAUCCUGGACCGACAUUGACGCUGAUGAGCGAAAGCUAGGGGAGCAAACGGGG